AGCUCCAAUAGCGUAUAUUAAAGUUGUUGCAGUUAAAAAGCUCGUAGUUGGACUUCUGGUUUGGGGUGGUGGUCCGCCUAACGGUGUGCACUGUUGCCUUGAGCCUUCUUCCUGUAGUCUCAUUGUGCACUUAAUUGUGUGCUUUGGUGAAUAUGGGACCUUUACUUUGAAAAAUUAGAGUGUUCAAAGCAGGCCUUCGCUUGAAUACAUUAGCAUGGAAUAAUAGAAUAGGACUUUGGUUCUAUUUUGUUGGUUUCUAGGACCGAAGUAAUGAUUAAUAGGGACGGUUGGGGGCAUUAGUAUUUAAUUGUCAGAGGUGAAAUUCUUGGAUUUAUGAAAGACUAACUACUGCGAAAGCAUUUGCCAAGGAUGUUUUCA
rnacentral:rRNA from 1 species